rnacentral:tRNA from 1 species
GUUAAUGUGGCAGAUAAGUGCAAUGAAUUUAAGCUUCAUGAAUAGGGUAAUUCUCUUUUU